UACGGAGGGAGCUAGCGUUGUUCGGAAUUACUGGGCGUAAAGCGCACGUAGGCGGCGAUUCAAGUCAGAGGUGAAAGCCCGGGGCUCAACCCCGGAACUGCCUUUGAAAUUAGAUUGCUAGAAUCCUGGAGAGGUGAGUGGAAUUCCGAGUGUAGAGGUGAAAUUCGUAGAUAUUCGGAAGAACACCAGUGGCGAAGGCGACUCACUGGACAGGUAUUGACGCUGAGGUGCGAAAGCGUGGGGAGCAAACAGG
rnacentral:rRNA from 1 species